UGGUGGAGCGAUUUGUCUGGUCAAUUCCGAUAACGAACGAGACUCUAACCUACUAAAUAGUUCGGGGACCCCCACAAAGGGGCCCCGCUUCAACUUCUUAGAGGGACAGGUGGCGUUUAGCCACACGAGAUUGAGCAAUAACA
rnacentral:rRNA from 1 species